rnacentral:rRNA from 1 species
UACGUAGGGGGCAAGCGUUAUCCGGAUUUACUGGGUGUAAAGGGAGCGUAGACGGAGCAGCAAGUCUGAUGUGAAAGGCGGGGGCUCAACCCCCGGACUGCAUUGGAAACUGUUGAUCUUGAGUACCGGAGAGGUAAGCGGAAUUCCUAGUGUAGCGGUGAAAUGCGUAGAUAUUAGGAGGAACACCAGUGGCGAAGGCGGCUUACUGGACGGUAACUGACGUUGAGGCUCGAAAGCGUGGGGAGCAAACAGG